AACGUAGGAGACAAACGUUAUCCGGAGUUACUGGGCGUAAAGAGCGCGCAGGCGGUCGUUCAAGUCGAGUGUGAAAGUCCCCGGCUCAACUGGGGAGGGUCAUUCGAUACUGAUCGACUCGAAGGCAGGAGAGGGUAGUGGAAUUCCCGGUGUAGUGGUGAAAUGCGUAGAUAUCGGGAGGAACACCAGUGGCGAAGGCGACUACCUGGCCUGUUCUUGACGCUGAGGCGCGAAAGCUAGGGGAGCAAACGGG
rnacentral:rRNA from 1 species